rnacentral:rRNA from 1 species
GACGAACGCUGGCGGCGUGCUUAACACAUGCAAGUCGAACGGAAAGGCCCUGCUUUUGUGGGUUGCUCGAGUGGCGAACAGGUGAGUAACACGUGAGUAACCUGCCCUUGACUUUGUGAUAACUUCAGGAGACUGGGGCUAAUACCGGGUAGGAGCUCCUGCUGCAUGGUGGGGGUUGGAAAGUUUCGGCCGUUGGGGAUGGACUCGCGGCUUAUCAGCUUGUUGGUGUGGUAGUGGCUUACCAAGGCUUUGACGGGUAGCCGGCCUGAGAGGGUGACCGGGCACAUUGGGACUGAGAUACGGACCAGACUCGUACGGGAGGCAGCAGUGGGGAAUAUUGCACAAUGGGCGGAAGCCUGAUGCAGCAACGCCGCGUGCGGGAUGACGGCCUUCGGGUUGUAAACCGAUUUCGCCUGUGACGAAGCGUGAGUGACGGUAAUGGGUAAAGAAGCAACGGCUAACUACGUG